rnacentral:rRNA from 1 species
UUUAAGUAAUGGCGAAUGAACAAAGACAUAGUCAUUUUGAAAAUUGUGGUCCGUGAUCAUGAAUUGUAAUAUUCAAAAUGCAUUGCUAACAAAAUUGCAUAUGUUAGUUUAUUGGAAAGAACAUUACAAAGGGUGAAAAUCCCAUGUGUCAUGUGUAUGUUUUGUGUACAGUGUGCAUUUCAUGAUUCACAUUCAUUGACAAUUGAAUGUAAAGCGAAUGGUAAACUUCAUUUAAACAUAAAUAUGUUGUUGAAAACUUAUAUCGAACAAAUACCAUGAGGGAAAUGUGAAAAGGAUUUUGAAAAGAAAAUUAAAAGAGCUUACAAUUGCUGGAUUGAUAAGCAAACAAAACACACAUGUGUAUGUGCAAGAUUGUUGUCAUGUUGUGCAAUUCAUGCAAAUUAACAUUGCUUUGGUUUUUGUGUAAUUUUGUCAGCUUUGGAAUUGAGAAUGAUUUUUUUGAGUGUGAAUGGAUUGUUGUUUGUUAACAAAGGAAUGCACUUUCAAAAUCAUUGUUUGAUUUGUCAAUCAAGUUUGUGGCGUGUGUUGUGUGUCAAAUUUAAUUAUAUAAUUCACAAAACACAUGAAGUUUGAGCUAUUAAGGCAAUUCUUGUUUUGUUUGACCCGUCUUGAA